rnacentral:rRNA from 1 species
AACCAAAAGGCCAAGUUAUAUUUUAAUGGUAAAAAGACAGUUAAAUAGUUUAUAAAGUCUAUUAAAUAUUUAUAAAGGAGUAAAAUCUAUAUAUAAAUAUAUAAUUCGAUAUUGGCUUAGGUAUUGAAGCUGUGAAAGCCUUGAGGGAAACUGGGAUUAGAUACCCCAUUAUUCUUGGCCGUAAAUCAAUGAAAAUUUACCGGGGUACUACGAACUGUAAAAGUUUAAAACUCAAAGAGCUUGGCGGUAUUUUAGACCUCUCAGGGGAACCUGUCUCGUAAUCGAUGAUCCACGUUACACCUAACCUUUUUUUGCUCUCAGCUUGUAUACCGUCGUCGUAAGGUAACUUCUAAGAACCUAGAAGUUAGCAAAAAAAUUGUAAAUUUUGAUGUCAGAUCAAGGUGCCAGUCUAUGAAAAGGUGAGGAUGGGUUACAAUUGCAAAGUUGCAACUACGGAAUAAUUGUAAGAAUUAACAAUUAUGAAGGAGGACUUGAAAGUAAAUUAAAUUAUAUAAAUAUCUUGAACAAGGCUCUGAAAUGU